UACGAAGGGGGCUAGCGUUGUUCGGAAUCACUGGGCGUAAAGCGCACGUAGGCGGAUCUUUAAGUCAGAGGUGAAAUCCCAAGGCUCAACCUUGGAACUGCCUUUGAUACUGGGGAUCUUGAGUCCGGGAGAGGUGAGUGGAACUGCGAGUGUAGAGGUGAAAUUCGUAGAUAUUCGCAAGAACACCAGUGGCGAAGGCGGCUCUCUGGGACGGUACUGACACUGAGACGCGAAAGCGUGGGGAGCGAACAGG
rnacentral:rRNA from 1 species